rnacentral:rRNA from 1 species
UGGGAUAACGUUCGGAAACGGACGCUAAUACCGCAUACGUCCUACGGGAGAAAGCAGGGACCUUCGGGCCUUGCGCUAUCAGAUGAGCCUAGGUCGGAUUAGCUAGUUGGUGAGGUAAUGGCUCACCAAGGCGACGAUCCGUAACUGGUCUGAGAGGAUGAUCAGUCACACUGGAACUGAGACACGGUCCAGACUCCUACGGGAGGCAGCAGUGGGGAAUAUUGGCCAAUGGGCGAAAGCCUGAUCCAGCCAUGCCGCGUGUGUGAAGAAGGUCUUCGGAUUGUAAAGCACUUUAAGUUGGGAGGAAGGGUUGUAGAUUAAUACUCUGCAAUUUUGACGUUACCGACAGAAUAAGCACCGGCUAACUCUGUGCCAGCAGCCGCGGUAAUACAGAGGGUGCAAGCGUUAAUCGGAAUUACUGGGCGUAAAGCGCGCGUAGGUGGUUUGUUAAGUUGGAUGUGAAAUCCCCGGGCUCAGCCUGGGAACUGCAUUCAAAACUGACCGACUAGAGUAUGGUAGAGGGUGGUGGAAUUUCCUGUGUAGCGGUGAAAUGCGUAGAUAUAGGAAGGAACACCAGUGGCGAAGGCGACCACCUGGACUAAUACUGACACUGAGGUGCGAAAGCGUGGGGAGCAAAC